AUGAAUAUCAGAAUCUGGGGAUCAUUCAAGGCCAUCUUGGAGACUGUUCAUUUGCAAUAGAGCAAAAGAUUGGAGCAACUCCUCUAAAAGGGAAAGAGAGAAAGGAAGAUGAAGUAAAGAGGAAAGGAUGUUACUGGUGAGAACACAAACACAGUGUUCCUCCCCUCUGGAAGAUGCAGUGUUCAAGGUUUCCUCUUGGAAGCAGAGAGCAGCUCUCACCAGAUGCUGAUGCCUUGAUCAUGGACUUUCCAGCCUCCAGA
rnacentral:lncRNA from 1 species